GGUCAGGCAGGGUACUAAGAUCCCAAAAGCUGUGUAGCAUGGCCAAAAAAAAAAAAAUAUGUCUGAAAAAUAUUUGAUACUUCAUUCUUCAGGAUGUGGAACUACUUAAUUCACCUCCUUCUAAGUGUGAGUUGAACAUUGUGAAUUUCUUCUUGUAAAUAGAAUAAGAUAGAAGAGACUGUGACUCUGAGACUAGGUCAUAAAAGGCAUUGAGACUUCCUCCUGCAUAUUCUCUUGAGUCACUCCAGGGAAGCCCGCUGUCUUGUCAUGGGACAUUCAGACAGCCUACGGAGAAGCCUGUGUGCCUGGAAAUAAAUGAUCCCAGCCAACAAGGAACCAAAGCCUGUGGACAACUGAAUUCCAGUUUGAUUUUGUAGACAUCCUCAUCUCAUGUUACCAGGUACUGUGCUAAGUGCUCCCAUGUCUCCUCAAGUUUCCCAGCUUCCCAGGUGGUAGUAUCAUUGCCUAGGAAUGGUGGAGCUACGCUUGAAUCCUCUGACUCUAAUGCCCAUCUUCUUAAUCACCACCUUCCUGUGACUGGAGGUUUAUGAGAGGAUAAAUCCAAGAAAGAGUUCAUGAAUUCUGGCAUCAUUCUACAGUAUCAGGUUGUUGUGAUUUCAGGAGACAAUGCACAUAAAACAGGCUUCAGCACACUGUGAAGACUCUCCAGUGCUAUUGUUAAUCUCUGGUUGUGACCAUCCUGAGCACCCCGCUCUGCAUAGCCCUCCUCUGGGGGAGAUGGAGAACAACACAGAACCGUUAGACCUGUCUCCUGCUGAGCCAUCUGGCAUCGACUUUUCAGCUGCACAUCCCGGGGACAAGCUGCAUCUCACUGGGGCCAUGAAAUAAAGGAAGCAAUAAUUUUCCUCUGACCACUCAACUGCUAAAAUGAAGGGACCUGGAAUUUUACACCCUCCAGUUUAACACAGAGAAAGCCUUGUAAUAGGUUACCCUGUGGCUGGUUUCAAGAAUGUUAGCUAAGGGGGAAGGGAUAUUUUGUAUGCUAGAAGACCUUCCAUUAUCCAUUAGCGUUGUGGUCUCUUUGAGUUCUUGUCAUAACCUGAAGUAUUUUAUGAAAGAAUUAACCCCAAGUAUCUUUGGAACCAAUAAA